GUUUGUCUCAGCCACCCUGGACAUGAGGCCCUAGAAGUGGCCUGAUUGGCCAAUUUGCAAAAAGGGGCGUGGUUUCGGCUGCAGCACGGUCGAUCCACGCCUCUACUCUUCAGUUCUUUUUAGGAUCUGCAUGAGGAAGGAGCUCUUUACUUGGGCUCCUUCCACUUAGGCCUGGGGAGGGUUUGCCCAGGAGCGGGCGUGGCAGUUCUCCAGCGGGUUCCUUCAGGUCCCGCUGUGCAGGGCAUUAGGUAGACAAGUCUCCAGGCUUUGCAGAAUACCAGCGGGGCUCUGUGGCCUGUGGGCCCGAUCGCAGCCUUCUCCAGUGUCCUGUUCCGGCAUCUGCAUCACAGCAGGGCUUUGGCCCUUUGGUUUGUUGCAGGCCCGGGAGGGCCGUGGGGUGGGGCAUUUUGCAAGUUUGUCUACAGCUUUCUUGGCUCUCCUGAUCUUUGGAAGGGGUUUCUGGCUGCUUUUGGGGGCCUUGUUGUGAGGGGUUGUUGCUGGGCUUUCGAGUUGGCUUCUGGGGUUUUUUCCUUGAGCUUUGGUAUCCCCUGGGGGUGGCUAAGGUUUUUUCCCUUCGUGCAAACCUCUCCCACAUCUAUAGGGUUGCUCUGUAGAGCAAGAAUUGGGGGUUGGCUUCUCCUUCUAAUAUUGGUUGAGGGCUUGUGGGUGUUUUCACGAUGCCCAGGAAAGCUAAGGAGAAAAAGGGUGGGAAGCCUGUUAGGCAGCCCAAAGCCCCCCCCCCUUCUUCCUCGGAUGAGGAUGAUGAAGAAAUGGCCCUUAUUAGGGGCUUGAUUGGUAGGAUGGAGGCCUUGGAGAAGUCUCGCAGCACUCCUUCUGAUAAGGGUGCUGGUCCUUCUGGCGGGGUGGUGGUGUCCCUCCUCCCAAGGUGCCUCGCAGGACCAGGGGGGCUGCCCGGAAUCAGCUUUUAAAAUCACUCUCUAGUAGGUUGGAGGCGUUGGAAAAGGGGGGGGGCAGCCGGCCCGGCUCCUCCCUCAGGUCCGCAAGAUCCAUCCAUGCCUGAUGACCUGGUUCCUGGAAGGCCUGCUCCCGUGGCUCCAUUGCCGUCGCCUGAGGACCCGGCUGCUGUGCUGCCUGCUCCGUCGCUUCCACUGCCUGCUGCGCCGGUUGAACCUCCGCCUGUGGACCCUCGAGUACCGGUGGCCCCGGGUGCUGGUGGGGCAGCGGCUCCUGUACGGGUCCUGAUCUGUGGCCAUUCGUUGGUCUUUUGGGCCUUCAAGUGUACCAGCACCUCCCACUGGGGUUCACAGCUGGGGUUUGGACGAAGAGCCCUGGUGUAUUGGUUGGGCAUGCGGGGCAUGCUGUGGAGUCAGCUGCUCCCGGCCAUUAAGGAUCACUUAGCUAGAUUCCCUGUGCCCACCGUUCUUGUCCUUCACUUGGGUGAGAAUGACAGGCAGGCGGACUGGCCUGUCCAUGGUGCAGCAAGCCGCCUCCGAUUUGAUCGUACUGCGCAGGUGGAUGCCCGGGGUUCGUAUCCUCUGGAUCAAUUGGCUUCAGCGCAGGGUUUGGCGCGCUGCGUUUAACGGGUUUAAGUUAGAAAAGGCCCGGCGCAAGGUUUCGGCCGCCAUAGGUAAGUUAGUUUUGGCGGCUGGGGGGGACAUCAUUAGGCAACCUGAUUUAGCAGCUCGCUUCCACGAGCUAUAUCGCCCGGAUGGUGUUCACCUUUCCGAGGCUGGGUGCGAUUUGUAUUUACGCAAUAUUCGGAAUGGGCUUGCUGCACUGUUGGAUGGCAUGGGGCAGGGAGGCCAAGCAAGGGCUGACCUCCCUGGGUGGCAGUAACAGUGCGGGCUAAGGGGUAAGUGGUUGGUUAGAGUAUGGUGAGCACCCUUGGAUAUUGUAAGGUGGAAUGGUCAAUCGCUCCUUUGUAGCCUGUGCGGCACGGGGAGAAAUUGAUUGCCAGGAAACCUGCUUAAGGAUUUCAUCAACCUUUGGGCUGUGCGGUCCGGGGUGGGUGAAGACCUUGAGCUGUCCAGAUCCCCUCUUCUCUGGAGGGCGGUUGGCUUUGAAGGAGACAGGUGGGGUAUACCCGCUUGUUUCCUGAGCCAGGGUGUGUCGCCCAUGUCAGGUGAUGAAUAGGAUGGUAGCAUCCUAGCUCACGCCUAGGGGCCCGCACUGUUCUAUGUUGGUGAUUAAUCACCUGGUUUACAGUCCGCCUAUGCCUAUUUGUUAUUAAUAAACGUGGCCCGUUUCAUCCAUUUAACGUCUCUGUGUCUUCUUGGGCCGGGGUCUGGGGACAAUUCCCCUCCCCUUCGCCUUGUGCGGGGGGGAGGGAGUUUGUCUCAGCCACCCUGGACAUGAGGCCCUAGAAGUGGCCUGAUUGGCCAAUUUGCAAAAAGGGGCGUGGUUUCGGCUGCAGCACGGUCGAUCCACGCCUCUACUCUUCAGUUCUUUUUAGGAUCUCCCUCCCUCCCUCCCUGAUGCAGAGCGGGUUCAGUGACUGGUCGCUUCGGGGCCGAGUAGGAAUUUUUUGCUCCCAACGUAUUGGCCUUUGUUGGGGGUUUUUUCGCCUACUCCGUUCUGUACUCAGUUGUUAGUUAGUUUUAGGUUGGCCACGUGGGCAGUAACAGUGCGGGCUAAGGGGUAAGUGGUUGGUUAGAGUAUGGUGAGCACCCUUGGAUAUUGUAAGGUGGAAUGGUCAAUCGCUCCUUUGUAGCCUGUGCGGCACGGGGAGAAAUUGAUUGCCAGGAAACCUGCUUAAGGAUUUCAUCAACCUUUGGGCUGUGCGGUCCGGGGUGGGUGAAGACCUUGAGCUGUCCAGAUCCCCUCUUCUCUGGAGGGCGGUUGGCUUUGAAGGAGACAGGUGGGGUAUACCCGCUUGUUUCCUGAGCCAGGGUGUGUCGCCCAUGUCAGGUGAUGAAUAGGAUGGUAGCAUCCUAGCUCACGCCUAGGGGCCCGCACUGUUCUAUGUUGGUGAUUAAUCACCUGGUUUACAGUCCGCCUAUGCCUAUUUGUUUAUUAAUAAACGUGGCCCGUUUCAUCCA